rnacentral:rRNA from 1 species
UACGUAGGGAGCAAGCGUUGUCCGGAAUCAUUGGGCGUAAAGCGCGCGUAGGUGGCUUCGUAAGUCCGUUGUGAAAGUCAAAGGCUCAACCUUUGAAAGCCGAUGGAUACUGCGGAGCUAGAGUACGGAAGAGGCGAGUGGAAUUCCUGGUGUAGCGGUGGAAUGCGCAGAUAUCAGGAGGAAUACCAAUAGCGAAGGCAGCUCGCUGGGACGUUACUGACACUGAGGCGCGAAAGCGUGGGGAGCGAACAGG